GACGAACGCUGGCGGCGUGCUUAACACAUGCAAGUCGAGCGGUAAGGCCUCUUCGGGGGUACACGAGCGGCGAACGGGUGAGUAACACGUGGGUGACCUGCCCUCAGCUCUGGGAUAAGCCUGGGAAACUGGGUCUAAUACCGGAUAUGACCUUUCCUCGCAUGGGGUUUGGUGGAAAGUUUUUUCGGCUGGGGAUGGGCCCGCGGCCUAUCAGCUUGUUGGUGGGGUGAUGGCCUACCAAGGCGACGACGGGUAGCCGGCCUGAGAGGGCGACCGGCCACACUGGGACUGAGACACGGCCCAGACUCCUACGGGAGGCAGCAGUGGGGAAUAUUGCGCAAUGGGCGGAAGCCUGACGCAACGACGCCGCGUGGGGGAUGACGGCCUUCGGGUUGUAAACCUCUUUCGACCCCGACGAAUUUGGACGGUAGGGGUAGAAGAAGCACCGGCCAACUACGUG
rnacentral:rRNA from 1 species